CUUCUCCAGUGAGUACACAGACACGGGAACCUGCAGGCAGUGACUCACUCAGCUUCUCCUAGUAACAGAUGCUGGAGCUCCAUUGCAGAAUGAAGGUGAUGACCUGCAGCAACACAGAUGAAGAUCUGGUCACUGAUUUGCAUCCCUGAGCAGAGAAGACUAUGGAGCCACAAAGUCAAGCUAGCAACAACUUGAAAGGAUAACAUCUAUCAGAACUAAUAAGCACUAAUCUAGCGUGGAAGAGAUAGCAACCAACUGAGUCGACAGGCAGAGAGAGGAACAAAGUCUGGCUACAGCACACUGAGAAUCUAUACAAUUAUAAAUCAUAAAUUAUA